GUUGCUUAAAUUUGGAUUAACUAGUUCUAGACUACAGAGUCUCAGAUUAAGGUAAUCAAGGACCAGUGAGAUCAUCUUUUGGAAACCCGAUUAGAUUAAUGGCAUGCAAAUAAGGAGAGGUUGCUAUAAAAACCUGGUAUAGAAUACUUGUAAUUCAUUAGUCUUAAGGAGUGUGUGGAACAGGAGUCACUACACUUAACCAAAAAAUGGAUAAAGGCAGAAGAAAACGCUCAAAAAACUUCAGUGAAUUUGAGAAGACCCUUUUUAAACAAAUUGUAUCAAACUAUUCUGUAAUUGAAAACAAACAGCAUGAUUCAGGUACAGAAAACAAGAAGAAGAAGGCAUGGAUUUCCAUAUUGAAUGAAUUCAACUCAAAUGAAAAAGUAACCAAAUGGACACUCCAACAAGUUCAGGUCCUGUGGAAAAACAUAAAAAUAAACCUGAAAAAAACAACUGCUGCUACGCGUCAAGAGCGUUUCAAGACAGGUGGGGGACUCCCAGUUCCACCAGACACAGAGGAGUUGGGGACUUGUUGGCUGGGAUUAUUGAAAGUCAGCAACCCCUGGAAGGUAUUCCAGAUGAUGACCAUUUGGACAGUUCAGAUGACCUGAUCUUGACACAGGACUUGGGGGGCGCAGGGAAUGUGAAAAGUGACGUGACAUUCAGCCAAGUAUGGUGACCCAUACUCAGAAUUCGUGCUCCGCAUUUAACACAUCCGAAGUGCACACACACAGAGCAGUGAACACACACACACACUGUGAACACACACCCAGAGCAGUGGGCAGCCAUUUUAUUGGGGGUUCGAUGCCUUGCUCAAGGGCACCUAAGUCAUGGUAUUGAAGGUGGAGAGAGAACUGUACCUGCACUCCCCCCACCCACAAUUCCUGCCGGCCCGAGACUCGAACUCACAACCCUUCGAUUGGGAGUCCGACUCUCUAACCAUUAGGCCACGACUUCCCUCUGUCAGGAACAGUCAAGAUGCUCAAAUGAAUCCAGCAGCAGCUAGAACCAACAUGCAGCAGCAUCCAGUCUCCUGCAGUAGCAUUAGUCAGCAUCCAGCAGUCUCUAAUCCAGGCAGCAGGUCAAGAGGGAAAAGGAUGACCAUUCAUGAAAAACUUGCCAUAGAGUUCCAUGAACGUAAAUUACAAUAUUUAAAAGAAGAACAUGAAGUCAAAAUGAAAAUUCUUCAUCUUGAGUUGUCUACUGUAUGAAAGAGAGAGACAUGAAGCAGCAGCAGUGUCAAUUGUCUUUGGAACAAAAUCUCAGUUAAAUAAAUAAUUUCCUGAAUUUUUUUUACCUGUCUAUGCCAAUCAUUUAUGUAUCACUCAAGGUUCAUUUAUGAGAAGUGCUGCAAAGCAAAAGCAUCUCUGUAAGCAAGUCCAUUUCUGUCAUUGGCUAGUUCAGCGAUAGGGACAUGUUGGUCAUCAUCAUCUUCAAUAUCAGGGUCUGGGCAGCCACACUGUUUAAGAAAAUUAUGAAGCACUGCUGUUGCAAUAAUAACAAUGCAGUACCUCCUAGGUUCAAACCGCAGUGUAUUUCG
ensembl:lncRNA